GCCGGGUGUGGUGGCGUGUGCCUGUAAUCCCAGCUACUUGGGAGGCUGAGGCAGGAGAAUGGCGUGAACCUGGGAGGCAGAGCUUGCAGUGAGCCGAGAUUGCGCCACUGCACUCCAGCCUGGGUGACAGAGUGAGACUCCGUCUCAAAAAAAAAAAAAAAUUGAUUUUUAUUUUUUUUAGACAGUCUUACUCGGUCACCCAGGCUGGAGUGCAGUGGCACAAUCUCAGCUCACUGUAACCUCUGCCUCCCAGGUUCACCAUUUCUUCUCCU
rnacentral:SRP_RNA from 1 species